rnacentral:rRNA from 1 species
GAUGAACGCUGGCGGCGUGCCUAAUACAUGCAAGUCGAGCGAACAGACGAGGAGCUUGCUCCUCUGACGUUAGCGGCGGACGGGUGAGUAACACGUGGAUAACCUACCUAUAAGACUGGGAUAACUUCGGGAAACCGGAGCUAAUACCGGAUAAUAUAUUGAACCGCAUGGUUCAAUAGUGAAAGACGGUUUUGCUGUCACUUAUAGAUGGAUCCGCGCCGCAUUAGCUAGUUGGUAAGGUAACGGCUUACCAAGGCAACGAUGCGUAGCCGACCUGAGAGGGUGAUCGGCCACACUGGAACUGAGACACGGUCCAGACUCCUACGGGAGGCAGCAGUAUGGAAUCUUCCGCAAAGGUCGAAAGCCUGACGGAGCAACGCCGCGCGAGUGAUGAAGGUCUUCGGAUCGUAAAACUCUGUUAUUAGGGAAGAACAAAUGUGUAAGUAACUAUGCACGUCUUGACGGUACCUAAUCAGAAAGCCACGGCUAACUACGUG